rnacentral:lncRNA from 1 species
AGACACGUUCAGGCAUCGUUCAGGUAGCGCUUUUGAGCCACUUUGACGGUGCAAAGAGCGAAGGCAUCGGAGAAGGAGACGCGUCGCAGAAAGAUGAGUUUUCGCGUUUCUUGUGGGUUCUAGAUAUUUUUUUUCCAUAACUAUGUUAUGAGUUCCGGAUAUUAAUAUCCAUAUGCACCGCAGAUGAACAAAUCCAGAAGUCUUUUUUAUUAGGUCCGGAUUUGGAAAUCCAGAAUGUGUUUAUUGGGUGCUUUCAUCACCCUGAAGCAGUUUUGAGUCAAAUGUGGUACUAGUAAGUAAAAAUGCUUUUACCCAAGAAACAAAAACAUCCAAUUAUCAACGAUUUUAAGCUUGGAACUGAUAGGGAAGUAAAUCCAUAUUGUAUAACAAAAUCACUGAACCUAGUCUCCCAAUUUAACAGAGAUAAAAUAAUUGGUGAUCAAUCCAUCGUAAACCCUUCAUAAAUUGGGAGGGAGGUGUUUACCAAUGAGUGCAUAUACUAGUGGCCUGAUCGGACACCGUUGUCAUGUCGUAGAAAGAAGCAACCUCUGUUUCAGGGCAUUUGAAAAUCUGGAUUGAUUAUGUAUUAAGAACAUUAUUGUAAUAUUUGUAUCCAUGAACGAGGUUAUUGUUUGAACUUGAAUUUUAAGUAUAAUUUAACUUUAUUUUGACCUUAUGAAUACCUUUUAAUGUUGAUUUUACUUAUAUUCUUUAAAUUGGUUUGGUAUAGUGGUUUUAAUCCAUUAAAAGUAACAAAAUCAUCACACUUCCAAAAAAAAGUUCAGGAUGAUUGGCUUUCGGAUAUGUAUAUCCGGAAGCAUGAUGGUGUCUUCCAGAUAAAUAUGUUUGUAGUCAAAGAGUGUUAGUUCCGGAUACCAAUAUCCGUAAGCAAAGCUGACACUUCCGGAUGUCAAUAUUCGUAAGCAAAACUGACACUUCUGGAUGCCAAUAUCCAUAGGCAAAUAUGUGACUUCCAGAUAUUGACAUCCGUUAGCAAAUGUGUGCCAAGGGCAAAAUUGAAUUUAAAAAGUUAGCAUAUAAAAAAUAUAUGGUGGAGGAAGAAAAUGCCUUUAAUCUAUUCAUCCAAGUUCAAUCUCUCUAUAUGCAAAUAUGGAACAAAAUAAGUAACAAACAUAAAGCAUUAGUUUAUGUUAGAAUCGUAGAAAUUUGACUAAAUAAAAAGCAAAAUGGGGGAUAAGGGUCACCCCAUGGCCAUGUAAUUCGUGAUGAGAUGGCUGCUGCAUGUAAGUUGGGAACAUCCCACAAGAAAAUGUUAGGAGGCGUAGGUGGUGAACCCCACAACACAAGCAAUGAGAGACAAUAUCACUGUUAUAGAAAUACCUCAAAUAAAUUUAUAUCAUUAAAGUAAUCAGAUAUCAAAUAAAAAGUAAUAGCAACUCGUAUCCAUUAUAAAAUCCGAUUAUUAAUUCUACGUCUUGUAAUCAAGCAAAAGUUCAUAAUUAAAACUUCCAUAAAUUCUCCUACUUACCUAUACCAUGUGGAAGUAGUUAUAGAAUUUCACAGAAUCAUUCGGUCUCGAUGUUACAUGAAGAACACUAGUUAGAUGAAGAAAAAAAGAAACCUAGGAUGUAGAAGAUUAUAAUAUCUGGAAUCCUAUAAAUCACAGGUGGUCUUUGUAAUAUGAAAAAACAUUAUAAAUUAUAUAUAAUUUUGGAUUAUGCAAUCUUCUGAACAUA